rnacentral:misc_RNA from 1 species
AAAGAAUUUUGAGAGGCUCUCUUUCCUAUAUCUAAUAACAGGAAAUGUGGAGAAGUUAUCUAAAAUGAUGAAAAUUGCUGAGGUCAAAAAUGAAGUAAUGGGUCAGUUCCAUGAUGCCUUGUACCUCGGUGAUGUCCGCGAGCGUGUUAAAAUUUUGGAAAAUGCUGGUCAUCUGCCCCUUGCGUACAUCACAGCUACUGUCCAUGGGCUCAAUGAUACCGCUGAGCGUCUUGCGGAGGAAGUGGGGGAUAAUGUUCCAUCAUUGCCAAAG